rnacentral:rRNA from 1 species
UACGUAGGUGGCGAGCGUUAUCCGGAAUUAUUGGGCGUAAAGAGCGCGCAGGUGGUUGAUUAAGUCUGAUGUGAAAGCCCACGGCUUAACCGUGGAGGGUCAUUGGAAACUGGUCGACUUGAGUGCAGAAGAGGGAAGUGGAAUUCCAUGUGUAGCGGUGAAAUGCGUAGAUAUCAGGAGGAACACCAAUGGCGAAGGCAGGUCUCUGGGCAGUUACUGACGCUGAGGCGCGAAAGUGUGGGGAGCAAACAGGAUUAGAUA